UGGCUUCCACGACGCAUCUUCGUGGGUCUCGAAACCUUAGUGCUGUCGUCGAUUUCUCCUUGGAGUUUUCUUUUUGACCACUGUCUAUUUCCACUAGAGAUUCCAGUGAAUUUUUGGGCUUAAUUCACUGUGGGUUGCACCCAUUCGAAGUGGUUCGAAGUUUUGUGACUCUUUAAGGCUGUGAUACGGUUAGUGGACAGAUCCAAGGCAUAUUUUGUACACGGAAGUCAGGUAAGCGGGGUUCAUAUACUA